CUUUUACCAAUUUCAUGCUACUAAUUCAAAUCUAGCUUCAAUUACUUUGAUUUUCAGCAAUUUCUUAGCUCUACAAUCUAUUAUCAAUAAAUCGUUGAUUAAGCAGACGAGAACUCGAAUCAAAGUUGUCCGACGAAUGAAAUGCGACGGAGAAGUUUUUGAGGAAAGACAUUGCUGAUCUGCUUGCUAAUGACCUCGAGAAGAACGCUUAUGGAAGAUGCAAGUUCUGUGGCAGGGAGGGUACUAUUACAAUGUUACCAAAAUCUGGCUGCUAUCUAACAGGUGAUGACUGACUGUGAAGCAGGAAAGUUUGUCCGUUUGAUGAGCUUUGACUGUCGGGUUUGGAGCCAGUGGACUACUCCUUUGGUGGUGACAAGGAGGAGCAGCAGAAAUUAUCUUAUGAUAAGGAGCAGCAGGAGAAGUUAUCUGAUGACAAGGAGGCCGGAGAAGGAGAAGUUAUCUGAUGAUAGUUACCUUACUUUUGUAAAUAGUGACAUCUAUAUAAAUAUGGUCAAUGUUGUCAAAAUUUAUAUAAUUACCUUAUUUUUAUAUAUAGUGACCUUCGUUAUUUUUAUAUAUAGUGGCCUCUGUAUAAA